GGCGGUUCUUGGGUGAUGCACCCUGGAAUUGGGCUCCCUCCUCUCUGGUUCCAGGGUGCUUUACCAGAGAACCACU
rfam:Myotis lucifugus cont2.56227, whole genome shotgun sequence.